rnacentral:rRNA from 1 species
AUUGAACGCUGGCGGAAUGCUUUACACAUGCAAGUCGAACGGCAGCACGGGUGCUUGCACCUGGUGGCGAGUGGCGAACGGGUGAGUAAUGUAUCGGAACGUAUCCAAUAAUGGGGGAUAACUAAUCGAAAGGUUGGCUAAUACCGCAUACGCCCUACGGGGGAAAGCAGGGGAUCUUCGGACCUUGCGUUAAUGGAGCGGCCGAUAGCUGAUUAGCUAGUUGGUGAGGUAGAGGCUCACCAAGGCGACGAUCAGUAGCUGGUCUGAGAGGACGACCAGCCACACUGGAACUGCGACACGGUCCAGACUCCUACGGGAGGCGGCAGUGGGGAAUUUUGGACAAUGGGGGCAACCCUGAUCCAGCCAUUCCGCGUGAGUGAAGAAGGCCUUCGGGUUGUAAAGCUCUUUCGCAAGGGAAGAAACGAUACAGUCUAAUAAACUGUGUUAAUGACGGUACCUUGAUAAGAAGCACCGGCUAACUACGUGCCAGCAGCCGCAGUAA